rnacentral:rRNA from 1 species
GCAUAACGCGAAGAACCUUACCAGGUCUUGACAUCCCUCUGACCGGUGCAGAGAUGUACCUUUCCUUCGGGACAGAGGAGACAGGUGGUGCAUGGUUGUCGUCAGCUCGUGUCGUGAGAUGUUGGGUUAAGUCCCGCAACGAGCGCAACCCUUGAACUUAGUUGCCAGCGAGUAAGGUCGGGCACUCUAGGUUGACUGCCGGUGACAAACCGGAGGAAGGCGGGGAUGACGUCAAAUCAUCAUGCCCCUUAUGACCUGGGCUACACACGUACUACAAUGGCCGGUACAACGGGAAGCGAAGGAGCGAUCUGGAGCGAAUCCUAUCAAAGCCGGUCUCAGUUCGGAUUGCAGGCUGCGACUCGCCUGCAUGAAGUCGGAAUUGCUAGUAAUCGCGGAUCAGCAUGCCGCGGUGAAUACGUUCCCGGGUCUUGUACACACCG